rnacentral:rRNA from 1 species
UUGAACGCUGGCGGUAUGCUUAACACAUGCAAGUCGAACGGAAACGAUACUAGCUUGCUAGUAGGCGUCGAGUGGCGGACGGGUGAGUAACGCGUAGGAAUCUGCCUGAUAGUGGGGGAUAGCCCGAAGAAAUUCGGAUUAAUACCGCAUAAUCUAUUCGUAGUAAAGUGGGGGACUUUCGAGCCUCACGCUAUCAGAUGAGCCUGCGUAAGAUUAGCUUGUUGGUAGGGUAAAAGCCUACCAAGGCGACGAUCUUUAGCUGGUCUGAGAGGGUGAUCAGCCACAUCGGGACUGAGACACGGCCCGAACUCCUACGGGAGGCAGCAGUGGGGAAUAUUGGACAAUGGGGGCAACCCUGAUCCAGCAAUACCGCGUGUGUGAAGAAGGCCUGAGGGUUGUAAAGCACUUUCAAUUGUGAAGAAAAGUUAGCGGUUAAUAACCGUUAGCCUUGACGUUAACUUUAGAAGAAGCACCGGCUAACUCCGUGCCAGCAGCCGCGGUAAUACGGAGGGUGCAAGCGUUAAUCGGAAUUACUGGGCGUAAAGCGUGCGUAGGCGGUUUAUUAAGUCAGAUGUGAAAGCCCCGGGCUUAACCUGGGAACUGCAUUUGAAACUGGUCAACUAGAGUAUGGUAGAGGAAAGUGGAAUUUCUGGUGUAGCGGUGAAAUGCGUAGAUAUCAGAAGGAACAUCAAUGGCGAAGGCAGCUUUCUGGACCAAUACUGACGCUGAGGUACGAAAGCGUGGGUAGCAAACAGGAUUAGAUACCCUGGUAGUCCACGCCGUAAACGAUGAUAACUAGCCGUUGGGGGGAUUUACCCUUUAGUGGCGAAGCUAACGCGUUAAGUUAUCCGCCUGGGGAGUACGGCCGCAAGGUUAAAACUCAAAGGAAUUGACGGGGACCCGCACAAGCGGUGGAGCAUGUGGUUUAAUUCGAUGCAACGCGAAGAACCUUACCUGGUCUUGACAUCCUGCGAACUUUCUAGAAAUAGAUUGGUGCCUUCGGGAACGCAGUGACAGGUGCUGCAUGGCUGUCGUCAGCUCGUGUCGUGAGAUGUUGGGUUAAGUCCCGUAACGAGCGCAACCCCUAUCCUUAUUUGCCAGCACAUCAUGGUGGGAACUAUAAGGAGACUGCCGGUGAUAAACCGGAGGAAGGCGGGGACGACGUCAAGUCAUCAUGGCCCUUACGACCAGGGCUACACACGUGCUACAAUGGGAAGGACAAAGAGCCGCGAAGCCGCGAGGUGUAGCUAAUCUCAUAAACCUUUUCGUAGUCCGGAUUGGAGUCUGCAACUCGACUCCAUGAAGUCGGAAUCGCUAGUAAUCGUAGAUCAGAAUGCUACGGUGAAUACGUUCCCGGGUCUUGUACACACCGCCC